GUUUAUCUAGACUAGUUGGUAGAGCGCAAGGCUCUUAACCUUGUGGUUUUGGGUUCAAACCCCAUGGUGUGUG
rnacentral:tRNA from 1 species